rnacentral:rRNA from 1 species
AUGAACGCUGACAGAAUGCUUAACACAUGCAAGUCUACUUGAAUUUGGGUUUUUUAACUUAGAUUUGGGUGGCGGACGGGUGAGUAACGCGUAAAGAACUUGCCUCACAGCUAGGGACAACAUUUGGAAACGAAUGCUAAUACCUGAUAUUAUGAUUAUAAGGCAUCUUAGAAUUAUGAAAGCUAUAUGCGCUGUGAGAGAGCUUUGCGUCCCAUUAGCUAGUUGGAGAGGUAACGGCUCACCAAGGCGAUGAUGGGUAGCCGGCCUGAGAGGGUGAACGGCCACAAGGGGACUGAGACACGGCCCUUACUCCUACGGGAGGCAGCAGUGGGGAAUAUUGGACAAGGGACCAAGAGUCUGAUCCAGCAAUUCUGUGUGCACGAUGACGUUUUUCGGAAUGUAAAGUGCUUUCAGUUGGGAAGAAAAAAAUGACGGUACCAACAGAAGAAGUGACGGCUAAAUACGUG